AAUAAGUGUUGUUUUACACUAUUCACGUUUAACGUUUGACCGUUCGUUUUAUUUGAAAAAAAUUAUGAUUAGUAUUUUUAUUACUAUUAGAUGAUAAAACAUGAAUAGUACUUUAUGUGCGACUAAAUAUUUUUAAAUUUUUCAUAAAUUUUUCAAAUAAGACGGACGGUCAAACAUUGGACACGGAUAUCCACGACUGUACUUAUU
rnacentral:pre_miRNA from 1 species